UUGACUGCUGUGGCGAAAGAAACAAACAUUAUUGAAAACAUAAAAGAAACAGAUUUGGACAUUCCAGAUCCAAUGGGGACUUACCCCCAAACUUCCACAUGCAGUGGUGUGUCUCCAUCGUUGUCCACCACAUUGGCAUCGAUGCCAUUGUGACCCAACAACAUUUCGACAUUGUGCAAGUGUCCCCUCAAA